rnacentral:rRNA from 1 species
AUGGACGGCAUUGCUCCUGCCUCCGCCCCCGCCCCCGCCCCCGCUCCGGCUGGCCCCCCGUGGCAGCACGUCGGCAGGAGCCUCUCCGGCGCCGGCGCGACGGGCCUGACGGCCGCCGGCACGGUGCUCCUCUUCCUCUACCUCGCGGGGCGCUUCGUCUGGGUGUACAACAAGGAGGUGGCCGCCGCGAACGCGCCCAGCGCACGGGUCGACGCGGCCACCCCGGUCCGCGUCGUCGUCGUGGUCCCGCGGCCCCUCCGCGGCGCUGCGCCGCCGGUGUCGCAGCUCCCGGCGUUCGUGCGCGGCGAGGAGGGCCACCGGGGCGCGCCGGAGGAGUGCGCGGUGUGCCUCUCGGAGUUCGGGGAGCGGGAGGCCGGGCGGCGGCUGCCGGGGUGCGGCCACGGGUUCCACGAGGCGUGCAUCGCGGCGUGGCUCCGGCUCAGCUCGACGUGUCCCCUCUGCCGCGCCGCCGUGGCCUCGCCCGGGUGA